rnacentral:rRNA from 1 species
GACGAACGCUGGCGGCGUGCUUAACACAUGCAAGUCGAACGGAAAGGCCUCUUUCGGGGGGUACUCGAGUGGCGAACGAGUGAGUAACACGUGAGUAACCUGCCCUUGACUUUGGGAUAACUUCAGGAAACUGGGGCUAAUACCGGAUAGGAGCUCCUGCUGCAUGGUGGGGGUUGGAAAGUUUCGGCGGUUGGGGAUGGACUCGCGGCUUAUCAGCUUGUUGGUGGGGUAGUGGCUUACCAAGGCUUUGACGGGUAGCCGGCCUGAGAGGGUGACCGGCCACAAUGGGACUGAGAUACGGCCCAGACUCCUACGGGAGGCAGCAGUGGGGAAUAUUGCACAAUGGGUGGAAGCCUGAUGCAGCAACGCCGUGUGCGGGAUGACGGCCUUCGGGUUGUAAACCGCUUUCGCUCAUGACGAAGCUUUGUGUGACGGUAGUGGGUAAAGAAGCACCGGCUAACUACGUG